UUGGAGGGCAAGUCUGGUGCCAGCAGCCGCGGUAAUUCCAGCUCCAAUAGCGUAUAUUAAAGUUGUUGCAGUUAAAAAGCUCGUAGUUGAAUUUCGGGAUCAAAUUGUUGGUCGUGCCUCGGUACGCACUGGUAUUAUUGGUUCCUACCUUCUGAAGAACCGCGAUGUCAUUAAUUUGGUGUCGUGGGGAAUCAGGGCUGUUACUUUGAAAAAAUUAGAGUGUUUAAAGCAGGCUUACGCUUGAAUACAUUAGCAUGGAAUAAUGAAAUAGGACGUUUGAUUCUAUUUUGUUGGUUUCUAGGAUUGACGUAAUGAUUAAUAGGGAUAGUUGGGGGCAUUAGUAUUCAAUUGUCAGAGGUGAAAUUCUUGGAUUUAUUGAAGACUAACUACUGCGAAAGCAUUUGCCAAGGAUGUUUUCAUUAAUCAAGAACGAAAGUUAGGGGAUCGAAGACGAUCAGAUACCGUCGUAGUCUUAACCAUAAACUAUGCCGACUAGGGAUCGGAUGAUGUUAAUUUUUUAAUGACUCAUUCGGCGCCUUACGGGAAAC
rnacentral:rRNA from 1 species